GCUUGCCACCACCCCACCCCCUAACCCCCAGAUAUGUAAGGGCCAUUUAAAGGGACAUCAGAGAGGCAGCCUGGUCUCUAACAAAUCCCCACCCCCUCCUCACACACUCACUGUCCCUGUCUCCAGCAACACACAGCCCCCCUGCCUCUCCAUCAGGCCCCAAAUUCCGGUUUUCUCUCACCCCUAGAGACUGCUACGAGGAGAAUGGGGCAAGGGAGACUGGGGGGAGCCAUUAAAGAAUAAGGACUCCCUCCUUCCUCAGAGCCCCAUGAGACUGGUCGGAAGAAGCCAGCCUAAGAAACAUUGAGACAGAACCCCAAAAGGCUCUCUAUGACAGCUUCCCAUUGGUCACUAGGACCCUGACGUAGUCGACGUCCGCUAAAGCCGAUUGGACUGGAGAGAGUGAGUUUGGGAAUCUGGCGGUGGACGUUCCCCAGCCUGUUACUCUGGCAACUGAGAAAACAACCCUGGCAAGCGACGGAGGUUCGACCAGCCUUACUCUGAGCAACCACUGGGUCCGUUCCUAUCGCACCUCAAUUAAUUACUUCUUUUCUCUCGGAGUUCUCAUCGCCAGGAACUAGGUGUUCUGCCUUCGACCUUCCCCACACUCCAGCCUCCAAGACACAGUCACAGGCCACAAGCCAGAAACGAAUCUGCAGUUUAGUGACCAACUCAACCCAAAUGCCACUUCACCACUGUUUAUUCUAGGCCGGAAAAAGCAUAGUCUCUCGCCCUGUCCCUAGCUUCUGCACUUUACCCAUAUGCUUACAAUUUCCUGGGCCGGGGGCGGGUGCCAGACAGAUGACAGGGAAUCAAAGGUGAACCUCAGCGCACCUUUCUCAAAGGUGCGUGUCACAGCUAUAGAUAGCCCCCCCCCCCCAACCCGCAUGGCCCUCGGCUCUGGUGGGCGUCUCAUCUUCGCCAUCUCGUGGCUACGUGGGAAAGGUUCAGCAUGGAGAAAGGGCCAGAGCCCAGUGAAGGCUAGGGAACUGAAGACGGAAAAGUGAGGAGGAGGGCACCGGCAACUAGAGGAACGAACCAGGCGAGGCCGAGAGCAGACGGUGCGGUGGAGUGCUGUGAGAUGGAAAAGCUACCGCUCCUGGAGGGAUGGUGAAAGUUGAGAAUACAUACACAUCUCCCCGGAGAAAAGAGCUGGAGGGAACCUUUGAGUGGCCCUGUAACUGGAAGUUCACUUUGCCUGAUCGCUUCUGAUCUCAGUGAGCCAGCGCCUAGCCAUAGCCCUAUCUGCAAACUGUCCUAUAGUCUCCUUCCUCAGGACCGCUGAGCCCCGCCCUAGUGUCAAUUCACCAUCCCAAGCGGGACUGGGAUUACUUUUAGGCCCUUUUGACCUUUAGAGCCAAGACCACGGGUUUUCCACUACCUUUGCCUUGUUCCCUUUUGGGGAACUUAGAUGUCCUGCGCCCCGACUCUGACAUUGCUUUUCCCAAGACUCAAAUGCCUUGCCCGACCUCUCCAGAGAGUCUGACGUCCCGCCCCUCCCCCUUGCAAGGAGAUGGUCUCCCUCUUUCCAAAAGUCCCUGCGGCUUCCCAUUACCUGGUUCUGGGGGUCCCAGGUAUUCAGGAUCUUCAAGGCCUCUCGGGGGUCGAGCGGCCCCCCCUCCCAGGCAGGAGUUGGGGGGGCCGCUCCACCCCGUGGCGCAGUUUGAUUUUCCAACACAAACACCCGCCCCCACCCCCCUUCCUCAACCCCGCCCCCGACUCGUGGUCCCGCCCCUCGCGCUGAAGUCCCUCUCUCCGGCUCCGCCCUGCCUUCGGUCCGCUCCCCUCAGCUGUAGUCUCAGAUAAGAAUCCCCAGUAAGGAUUGCAAGGCUUCGUUACUGUGCAGUGUAUAGAGCCCAUCACGGACCCUUACCUGACAAGUCUUUUAUUCUAUUUGCAUCGCGCGCCCUUCCAAAGCAAGCCCCACCCCGCCUGCUCAAAUCCUUUCCAGGAGACUUGGUCACACCUUCUUUUAGGCCUGGUGGGCAAGUAGUUCAAGACCACGCCUCCUCUUAUAGGCCACCUUUCUCUUCUCAGUUCUGGUUGUAGCAGCUCCUUUCCUUAAGUCCCAGCUUCCCUCCCUCCUCCAGGUUUCCUCCACCCCCAACACACAUUAAAACACCAUCAUUGAGAGACUU